AAGGCACUCUGAGAAGCCAUAUGAGAAUUCAUACCGGAGAGAAACCUUAUAAAUGCAGUGAAUGUGACAAAUGUUUUCGCCUACAAUGCCAUCGUAGUAUUCACCAGAGAGUACAUACAGGAGAUAAACGUUACAAAUGCAAUGAAUGUGACAAAUGCUUUGGCUACAAAAGUAGUCUGAGAAUUCAUCAGAGAAUUCAUACUUGAAAGAAACAAAGAUAAACAGAACCGAAAGCUGAUGCUUUGAGAAAAUCAACAAGAUAGAUAAACACUUAGCCAGAAUAAUCACAGGGCAUAGAGACUGUGGCCAAAUUAACAAAUAUCAGAAAUGAAAAGGUAGAC
rnacentral:lncRNA from 1 species